rnacentral:rRNA from 1 species
UAACUACUGGAAACGGUAGCUAAUACCGCAUAAUGUCGCAAGACCAAAGUGGGGGACCUUCGGGCCUCAUGCCAUCAAAUGUGCCCAGAUGGGAUUAGCUAGUAGGUGGGGUAACGGCUCACCUAGGCAACGAUCCCUAGCUGGUCUGAGAGGAUGACCAGCCACACUGGAACUGAGACACGGUCCAGACUCCUACGGGAGGCAGCAGUGGGGAAUAUUGCACAAUGGGCGCAAGCCUGAUGCAGCCAUGCCGCGUGUGUGAAGAAGGCCUUCGGGUUGUAAAGCACUUUCAGCGGGGAGGAAGGCGUUAAGGUUAAUAACCUUGGCGAUUGACGUUACCCGCAGAAGAAGCACCGGCUAACUCCGUGCCAGCAGCCGCGGUAAUACGGAGGGUGCAAGCGUUAAUCGGAAUUACUGGGCGUAAAGCGCACGCAGGCGGUCUGUCAAGUCGGAUGUGAAAUCCCCGGGCUCAACCUGGGAACUGCAUUCGAAACUGGCAGGCUAGAGUCUUGUAGAGGGGGGUAGAAUUCCAGGUGUAGCGGUGAAAUGCGUACAGAUCUGGAGGAAUACCCGUGGCGAAUGCGGCCCCCUG